rnacentral:rRNA from 1 species
GACGAACGCUGGCGGCGUGCCUAACACAUGCAAGUCGAGCGGACUUUCAGGAGUGCUUGCUCUCUUGAAGGUUAGCGGCGUGCGGGUGGGUAACACGUAGGCAUCCUGCCCAUAAAUCAGGUAUAACAUUCGGCAACGAUUCCUCAUACCUCAUAAACGGACUUCUCGCGUGAGGGGAUCGCGAACGCCGGAGCAUUAUGCUGCUUAUGGUUGGCCCCUAGGCGCGUUAGGUGGUUGGGGGGGCAACGGCCCACCAAGGCGAAGAGGCGUAGACGGGUCAGAGGGGUGAACGGGCAAAAUGGGACUGAGAAACGGGCCAGACUCCUAAGGGAGGCAGCAGUAGGGAAACUUCGGCAAUGGGCGGAAGUCUGACGGAGGAAAGGCGCGGGGGGGAAGAAGGCCUUUGGGUCGUAAAGCUCUGUUGCGAGGGAAGAACGGGUAGGGGGGUAACUGCCCGUGGCAUGAAGGUACCUAAGAAAAAAGCCCCGGCUAACUACGUG